AGUGAACGCUGGCGGUAGGCCUAACACAUGCAAGUCGAACGGCAGCACAGUAAGAGCUUGCUCUUACGGGUGGCGAGUGGCGGACGGGUGAGGAAUACAUCGGAAUCUACUUUUUCGUGGGGGAUAACGUAGGGAAACUUACGCUAAUACCGCAUACGACCUACGGGUGGAAGCAGGGGAUCUUCGGACCUUGCGCGAUUGAAUGAGCCGAUGUCGGAUUAGCUAGUUGGCGGGGUAAAGGCCCACCAAGGCGACGAUCCGUAGCUGGUCUGAGAGGAUGAUCAGCCACACUGGAACUGAGACACGGUCCAGACUCCUACGGGAGGCAGCAGUGGGGAAUAUUGGACAAUGGGCGCAAGCCUGAUCCAGCCAUACCGCGUGGGUGAAGAAGGCCUUCGGGUUGUAAAGCCCUUUUGUUGGGAAUGAAAAGCAGCAGGUUAAUACCCCGCUGUUCUGACGGUACCCAAAGAAUAAGCACCGGCUAACUUCGUG
rnacentral:rRNA from 1 species